rnacentral:ncRNA from 1 species
GCUCAUCAGACCCCAGAAAAGGUGUUGGUUGAUAUAGACAGCAGGACGGUGGCCAUGGAAGUUGGAAUCCGCUAAGGAGUGUGUAACAACUCACCUGCUGAAUCAACUACCUUAAGUUAAUAGC